rnacentral:rRNA from 1 species
UCCUAAGAUUAGCUCAACGAGAACAGAAAUCUCGUAUGGAACAGAAGGAUAAAAGCUUGUUUCAUUCUGAUUUCCAGUAUGAAUAUGAACCGUGAAAGCAUGGCCUAAC